CUUAAUAAGUACUAAUGAUGCCAGCACAGGGGUGGUGAUGAUAAGUGGCCAUAGCAGGAGCUCAGGGGCCAGCCUGAGGCUACCCAAGAGGAAACCUCUCAUUGCUGAGCCAAGAGACAGUGGUGGUGAUCUAUGAUGAUGGGCAGCAAUGGUUGGAAGCAGGAGGAACUGGGCCAGUAUGGAUGCUGAGGCCUGGAAGCAGAUGGUGGCAGAGGCCAGCUCGGACCCUCCAGGAGGCAUGCCGUCCAGGAAAUCCACUCUAAGAAUGGCAGCCGCCACCACCCCUGGACUGUGUGAGCCAGACCCGGGCCCAGGGCCUCCCCUCACCUGGGGCCAGGUGUGUGCGGAAGGUACGGUUGACGAGGGGGAAGUGCAACACGAUGGGAGAGCGCGGGUCCUUGGCCUUGGUGAACAGGUAACACUCACGGGGUUCCUCCAAAUCCUCAGGGAGCACUUCGAUACUUGGGAAGGGGAUGCCUCGGUCCAGGCAGUACUUCUCUGUCAUCUGUAAGACCUGGGCAGGGAGGCCAGCUUUAGACCCUGCCUCCAGCCGCCUGCUCUCACACAGCCUGCCCACUAGCUGAGUGACUGCAAGUGAGCUAAAUCUCCAGUCAAUGUCUUUAUUUACAUAAUAAAAAUGGGAAUAACUCUA